rnacentral:lncRNA from 1 species
AGGCCGGGUUGUUUAUUGGAAAAGGAGUAAAGACAACGAGAGCCUGAAGAUCCCAGGGAGGAUCUCACUGUGGAUGGUGCCAGGUUUGCCCACAUCAAGAUGCUGAUCCUGAAAAGCCACGAGUUCCUGCCAUGAUUGAUGGUCUUAAUGCUCUUAAAAAAAAAUCAUCACAGGGCCUGGGCCAGGGAUGGUGACAUUAUUUUCUGCAGCUGAGGGUAGGUUACUGUUAAAUCAUUCCCCCCACAACAGGCAUAAAUAGGUCUGUAGGCCAAAUUCACUGCAGACAUUGCUCAUCAUUUACACCCUUGUCUUUCCUAUGUUCCAGGUUUUCAGACAAUGGAAUUGGACUAACUCUGGCAAGUGAUGGGACUUUCCCAACAGACAGCAGCUCCAGCCUGGAGGUUACAUAUUCCAUUUUUGUUGGAGCAACUUUGGCUCCCAGAGAGGCCAAAACAGCUACUGGGGAAAAGGGGCAAAUGGAGAACACAGAACACUGCCCAGAAACAAGUUGGACUGGAAGUGUUUUUUUGCAAACCAAGCCAGUGGUUGGGAAACAGUGGCAAUGGAAAUGUGCAUUUUCCAUGGUGUGGAUGGCUGGGUGAGGGCAUUCAGACACCCCCAGAGGCAGAGCAGACCCUGCUGGAAUGGGAUAAUCUCUCCUGGGAAUCUCACAGCUUUACAUCCAGGCCAGAUGCCCCAGUAUCCUGA